rnacentral:sRNA from 1 species
GGUUCUAUUCCUUAUACUCAAUCAUACACAUGACAUCUCGUCAUAUUUGUCCCAAGACA